rnacentral:rRNA from 1 species
GACGAACGCUGGCGGCGUGCCUAAUACAUGCAAGUAGAACGCUGAAGGAGGAGCUUGCUUCUCUGGAUGAGUUGCGAACGGGUGAGUAACGCGUAGGUAACCUGCCUGGUAGCGGGGGAUAACUAUUGGAAACGAUAGCUAAUACCGCAUAACAGUAGAUAUCGCAUGAUAUCUACUUGAAAGGUGCAAUUGCAUCACUACCAGAUGGACCUGCGUUGUAUUAGCUAGUUGGUGAGGUAACGGCUCACCAAGGCGACGAUACAUAGCCGACCUGAGAGGGGUGGCGCCCACACUGGGACGGAGACGCGCCCCAGACGCAUGGGGGGGGCGGCAGGGGGGAGUGUGGGGAAAUGGGGGGAGGUCUGACAGCGCAGCGGCGGGGGAGGAAAGAGGGUUUGAGGAUCGAAAAGCUUUGUUUAAAGAAAAGAAGGGGUGUGGGAGGGAAAAGUUCACCCGGGGAGGGUAUCUAACAGGAAAGGGAGGGCUAACUACGUC